rnacentral:RNase_P_RNA from 1 species
ACGGACAGCUGGAUGGCCGCGUGGCGUCUUGCGCCAUGAGGAAAGUCCGGACUCCAAGAGACAACGGUGCCGGGUAACACCCGGCCAGGGCAACCUGAGGGAAAGCGCCACAGAAAGCAAACCGCCUGUGUAGGCAAGGGUGAAAGGGUGAGGUAAGAGCUCACCG